rnacentral:rRNA from 1 species
UCCUUUUGUUAAUAAUUUAAGGUCUAGCCUGCCCACUGAAAUUUUAAAUGGCCGUGGUAUUUUGACCGUGCUAAGGUAGCAUAAUCAUUAGUUUUUUAAUUAAGAACUGGAAUGAAAGGUUGGAUAAAAAAAUAACUGUCUCUAUUAAAUUUAAUUAGAAUUUUAUUUUUAAGUUAAAAAGCUUAAUUAGUAUUAAAAGACGAGAAGACCCUAUAGAGUUUAAUUAUUUAAUAAAAAUUAUAUUUUAGUAUUAAUUUAUUUAUUUUAUUAAAUAAUUUAAUUGGGGUGAUUGAAAAAUUUAAUUAACUUUUUUUAUUUAAAAACAUUAAUUUAUGAAUAAAUGAUCCAAUAUUUUUGAUUAUAAGAUUAAAUUACCUUAGGGAUAACAGCGUAAUUUUUUUAGAAAGUUCAUAUUAAAAAAAAAGAUUGCGACCUCGAUGUUGGAUUAAAAUAAAUUUUUGGUGUAGAAGCUAAAAUAUUUGGUCUGUUCGACCAUUAAAAUUUUACAUGAU